AUGCCCGGGCCCCCGGGAGGAGCUGUCCAGGCGCCGAGGGGCCGGCGCGGGCGCUGGGGCCCCAGCUCUCCGGGUGCACGCGGUCCUCCGCUGCCUGGGCCCGGCAGCCCCCGCCCGGCCCUCGGGAGGGCGGGCCGGGAGCACGACCGCGGGACCGAGGGGACCGCUGCGCUCCCGCGGGCUGCCGGGCCCCGAGCGGCUGCCUGUGGCCCCGGUGACAAUGGGAGGGCGGGGGAAAAAAGGGUUAAGAAACUUGGCCGAAGAGCUGAAUGGCGUGGAGCGCCGAGGGGAGGGACCGGCCGCGGCGGCUCGGCGGCGGAGGGAGGAGCGCGGCGGCGGCGGGCGGGCGGCGAGCGAGGCGCUCAAAGUCAGCCUCGCAGACAUUGCAGCAGAGCCCCGAACUCGGGAGGCGGCGGCGGCGGCGGCGGCGAGCGCAGGGACAGCCGGCCCACGCCCGCCCGCCCGUGGCCUGGCGUCCGCCGUGCGCUCGCGGCGCUGCCGCGCGGAGGGACGAGCCGGCCGGGCGCCGGGGAGGACGGGCGGCGGGCGCCUUCGCAGAGGGAGCCGCGCGGAGCGCGCCUCGGAGCCGCGGCGGCCUCGGGGAGUGUUUGGAUUCUGAGCUAUUUCAGAGCUCUUUCCUCAGGACCCAUUAUUGUGACAUUUGAGAGAAACAUAUCCGGAAGGAUCACUUCAGGGACGAAGGGGAGAGUCCCAGAUGAAUGAAGGUGUCGCCCAGCUGCCUUCCAGUGCGUGUGCACCCACAAAGGAAGCAUGAUUAUUCCUGUUCCCUUCAUCAUGUCCUGAUUGGCCCCGUGCCCCGCUCCUUACCCCCUGACUUCCUCUCCCUCCUUCCCUUUCUCCCCACUUUGCGUGAGUGCUAAUGCACUAAUAGUUCUGCACAACCUGGUUAGCCGUAGAGUGGUUACGAGCACAAUUUUACUAUUUAAAUUAUCUUGAAGCUCUAUAUUUGGACUGCCUUUGCUUUGGUCAGAUGUUUAUUUUCAAUUCUUAAUGAAGAACAAACACACUAUUUAUGAAAUUAUUUCUAUGAGAAAAUAUGGCACAUUGAGAGAUCUUCUUUCAUUGUCGCAUGACGUCUUCUUUAGGCAUGCAGCAUAAAAAAGGGGGAGAACACCUGACACCCGUCUUCAUUUUAGUUCGACUUAACACAUUGCAGGAAACUGUGUGAAUAUUUGAAAAUAUUUUUGUAUCAAUUAAAAUAUAAGCACUGGAAGACCUUACUAAAAUAGCUCAAACAAUGAGGGAUAUAUCAUCUUAUUCAGCAGGAAGUUUGCAGUGCGGGUUGUUAAUUGUCAUAAUGAUGGUAUCAAGAACCUGCAUGGUAUUUUCCAUUUUUCUACUCUGUAUCUUGAGUAUUUUGGCAGUGUCAUUCUUCAUGGUUGCAAGAUGGCCAUUUUUCCAUGCACUUUUUUUUUUUUUUUUUUUUUUGGUGAGGAAGAUUGGCCCUGAGCUAACAUCAGUUGCCAAUCCUCCUCUUUUUGCUUGAGGAAGAUUGUCACUGAGCUAACAUCUGUGCCAGUCUUCCUCUAUUUUGUAUGUGGGAUGCUGCCACAUCAUGGCUUGAUGAGCCGUAUGUAGGUCUGUGUCAGGGAUCCGAACCUGUGAACCCCGGGCUACUGAAGCAGAGCAUGUGAACUUAA
rnacentral:lncRNA from 1 species